AAGGUUGACCUCGGAUCAGGUAGGGAUACCCGCUGAACUUAAGCAUAUCAAU
rnacentral:rRNA from 2 species